rnacentral:rRNA from 1 species
GUUUACGGCCACACCGGCCUGAGUACGCCUGAUCUCGUCCGAUCUCGGAAGCUAAGCAGGGUCGGGCCUGGUUAGUACUUGAAGGAGACCGCCUGGGAAUACCAGGUGCUGUAAGCU